CAGUUGCCUCGGCACUGUUUUUGGAGAGAUGCCAUGGAAAGAGGCUUCAUGCAACCUUCCCCAGCUCACUGAAUUAUGGCAUUGCCAUACAAGGCCUGUGUGAGAGCAUUGCAGCAGACUGGGACAAGGUGAACUACAGUGAUAGCAAUUCCCAGCUCAGCUUGUACUUAGGUUUUGGAGCAGUCAGGCCUGCACCCAUUUGAAGCUGUCAGACCCUUCACCUCUCCAGCUGCCAUCCAAGAGCUGGGCCUGGGUUUCAAUGUGCCCAUACCAGCCAGACUCCUCCAGUCUUCCCACCUCUGAGCUUCUGAGUGGCCACACUACUGCAAGAAAAGAUUUACCUGGCCUUCACAAACCCUUGUGGAAAACUGCUGUUCAGCUCCCCUGUGCACCUGAUGUGAAGGUAGAGCGAAGCUGUACUGUUCCCUUGCAGAACCUUCAUCCUUGGCCAUCACCAUUCCUUUCAAGGAAAAAUGUGAAUGCCAACAAAGAUAUUAGGAAAAAAAAAGUACAAACUACUGUUUUCAAAAUUUUGUUAAUGUGUUUUCUUUAAAAAAUGCAGAGCUUCAUCCUUACUGCUGUUAGUAUGAAGAAGAGAAACUGAUGAAAGCCACAGUAGAUUUGCUUCAUUGGAUAACAAAAUACAUCAUUCAAAAGAGUCAAGUCCCAUGCAGACCUGUUAGGCCUCUUCAUGUCCAGUCAUUUUAAAAUGUGGGGUGGAAGUGGGACUUCUCCAGGCCUCUCAUGCCACAUGGACACCCCAUGAGGAACAUGGUUUAUUCCCCAUUAUGCCAAAGGAGACAGACCCACCCUGAGCUGGUACUGAAUUGAUAGACUCUGCUUCAGGGGUGCUCAUCAACUCUGUGUUUUGGUGGAAUAGUCAUUGGUGCAAGCAGCUCAUCGAUGAUUGAACUGUAAUUGGUGCGUGCAGCACAGAGCCAAGCUCGGCUCUGCCUCCAGCUCUUCGCUGUCAGCCAACCAUGCUGUGACCACAGGCUGGGACCAGUACCAGUCCAGAAUUGCUUGUCUUAAUCGUAGCUAUUUUAGUGGAGACUACAGCUUCCAUGGGAGUAAAUUGUCAUGAUUUGGGAAAUGCCAAACAGAAUUAACUGAAAAAAUAAAAAUCUUUUUGUUGGCAUUCCUACACCAUGAUUUUGAUGUUUGAGAAGUCUUUUCCUCUCACUUACACCCAAAAACAGCCGAUGCAUUAAAAGCACAGCUUUGCUCCAAAACAGUCCAUUCUGGAUUUGCAUAGUACUUUAUUAUUUUUAAGAGAAACUGGUUUACUUCCAAAUUAAUAUGCCAGAGGCUGAAUGAGCUAGAUUUAAAUAUAAAAUUAUUUUGAAUAGAUAUUUAACAUUAACAGCAAUCUCAUUUAUUUUAGUUAUUUUCACUUAUUUUUUUUUUUUUUAUUUUCACUUAUUUUUUCAAAGUUAAGCUAGAUCUACUGCAUAAGAAUGAGUGUUUCAUUAAUUUUUAUAAGAGUUAUAAGAAGCAUAUGUUUUAAAGCUCUACUUUGUAACAUAGAAAAGUAUAUUUUAGACAUAUUUAUUUACAUAAUAGCCACAUUAAAAGAAAUUUUCAUAUGGAAAAAUGUAGCGAUACCAAGCAACUGUUCCCAAAAAGUUUUAAAAAGUAUAUUAAUGAUAUGGAGUGAAAAGAAACAGGAAAAAAAAAUAAAAAUGAAAUUAGAGGAUGUGAUUUUUUGAAGUGUUCAAAGUGAACACAUUUCCACUCCUAUCACAAAGCCAGUGGAAGCAGAGCAGUCUACAGCAAACUAAAAGAAAUCAUGAAAAAAAAAAAAAAAAAAAAAAGUUCUUUGAAAGAAUUGAAAUAUCUCACUUGGAAAUGAGAUUUUCAUCUUGAAAAGGUGAGAAAUGUUGAUUUUAGCAUUGUCGUUCUAAUUGGUUUUGGAUCAACUAUCAUUUUGUUAAUUGCAGUAUGCGAUAUAUAUAUAAAAUAUGUAAAAUAAAUGAUCUUAUUAUAAUAUAUCAAUAACUGAAAAGCAUCAAUUUAAAUAUUUUGACAAUAUCAACACAAGAAUUGAUACAAAAUGGCCAAACCUCUUCUGAUGAGCGAUUUUGUGAAAUAUUUUAGAUUUUGACAAAAAAGCGCACUUUUCUAUGGAAAAA